GGCGCGGUACCCAAGUGGUAAGGGAGCAGUCUGCAAAACUGCGACGCGUCGGUUCAAUUCCGACCCGCGCCU
rnacentral:tRNA from 1 species